UGGGGAAUUUUGGACAAUGGGCGAAAGCCUGAUCCAGCAAUGCCGCGUGUGUGAAGAAGGCCUUCGGGUUGUAAAGCACUUUUGUCCGGAAAGAAAUGGCUCUGGUUAAUACCUGGGGUCGAUGACGGUACCGGAAGAAUAAGGACCGGCUAACUACGUGCCAGCAGCCGCGGUAAUACGUAGGGUCCAAGCGUUAAUCGGAAUUACUGGGCGUAAAGCGUGCGCAGGCGGUUGUGCAAGACCGAUGUGAAAUCCCCGAGCUUAACUUGGGAAUUGCAUUGGUGACUGCACGGCUAGAGUGUGUCAGAGGGGGGUAGAAUUCCACGUGUAGCAGUGAAAUGCGUAGAGAUGUGGAGGAAUACCGAUGGCGAAGGCAGCCCCCUGGGAUAACACUGACGCUCAUGCACGAAAGCGUGGGGAGCAAACAGGAUUAGAUACCCUGGUAGUCCACGCCCUAAACGAUGUCAACUAGUUGUUGGGGAUUCAUUUCCUCAGUAACGUAGCUAACGCGUGAAGUUGACC
rnacentral:rRNA from 1 species